UAUGGUGAAGGAGACGACACAGACUUCGUCCUCAGCCCACGCGCGUAUGGAAGAAUGGCACUUACAGAUAAGUCAGAAGAGCUUUAUACUUUUGGUGUCGUCGACGUUGAAUUCCUGAGAGUCCCUUGCCGGUUCAGAGGCUACAACCUCAAGUUCAAGGUCCAUGAAAACAGCAAGUACCCACAGUACUUGGCCGUAUCCAUGCUGUACGUAGGUGGCCAAAAUGACGUCCAAGCAGUUGAAAUAUGGCAGGUAAUUACUUACAAAUUAACUUCUAAACAAUUGAUUUUUAGCCCGUCCAUCGCAUGUAAUGCUUUUGUUGGUGCAGGAGGAUUGUAAAGACUGGGUGCCGAUGAGAAGGGCUUUCGGUGCAGUAUUUGACAUCUCUAAUCCACCACCAGGAGCAAUUAAUUUGAGGUUUCAAGUGAGUGGCAGCGCGGGGCUCACAUGGGUUGUGGCAAACAAUGCUAUUCCAAAAGUAUGGAAGGCUGGAGUUGCUUAUGAGUCAGCAAUUCAGCUUGCAUAAAUUUGAGAUAUCCCAAGCUUUAUUAUGACUGGUUCCUGGUUAUCAGCUUCUUAAUGUCAUUUAGAUAUUCUAGUAUGUUGUUGCCCAGCAUCCGUGUCUCCUCAAAACUUAACUAGUUGCUAAAUAAAUAGUGGGAUUGUGUACUUUAAGAUCUUUUGAUCUAAGGAGAAAAUUAAUAAAAUUCAGCUCUCGUCAAAAUAAAACCGCUCAUACGCCUCGUUAGUGGUGUCUUUGUGGGUGUGUCUUAUUGAAUUUCUUGUGAUUGUUUAAAUAACUCCAUUAUAUUUCCUCUACUAACAGUAAUCAGUAAAAUUGAUGUAUUAUCAAACAAUAUACAUCGUCGAUAAUAUUUCUUAGUGAUUGCAACACGUUAAAAAAUAUAUUUCAAAUGUAAAAAUUGUAAAAUAAAUUGUCGAGCCAUUCCGUUUUAGAAUUGGAGAUUAGCCAAAUCUUUUGUCAAUUGUUUAUAAAAGUAUGAUAAAUAUCUACCAACUACUCUUUGUUUUGCACUUUAUAAAAAAUAUACUAAAACUUUUUUCUUUUGUGGCUAUCCACGUAAAGUUUACAAAAUUAUCACUUUUUUACUUUUUCAUUAACAUAAUUAAAGAUUUAAUAGAAUAUUAAUUAAACGACCACUAUAUCGUUAAAAUAUUAUUUAAUCCUAACUAGUAGCUAAAUGAUGAAAAAAAAUUCCAAUUUGUAGCUGUUGGAACCAAUAGCAGCUAUAAAUUUAGUUAGAUAAAUUCAUCAAACCUACUAAUUUAACAAUAUAAAAUCACCAAAAUAACCACCAUAACUAAUUUGUAAUUCAUUUGCAACAUAAAUUCAGAACCUCUGCUCAUAUAAUCCAUCCUAAAUAAUCUUUGACAACAAUAACAAGUCUUGGAAAGCAAUAAAUCACCAAUAAAAACAAUCAUAGUUAUCCAAAAUACAUUUUAAGGAAACAUAAAAGUAGUUAUAAAAAACUUUAAACAUUAUACCUUGCUUCCGUCGAUAAAAAAAGAACAAUGUAAAACCAAUUAUGAUGAAUAUAGAGUUUACAAUUUGUUUCCAUCAAUUCAAAAUUAAACAUAUUCUAAAAUUAUGUAAAACAACAAUUAAUAAAUAAUCUAUUUACAUUUAGGGAUAAAAUAGUUUUUUUAUCAAUAUCCUAUUAAAUCAUCUAAUGCUAUUAAUGGAAAAGUAGAAAAAUAAUAAAAAACUGCAAAAGAAAAGUUUUUGGCGUAUUUCUAAUAAAGCUUAGAAUAUAUUUACCAAUAAAACUACAUAUAAUAAAUUCUUCAACUAACGUACUACAUUAAUUUCAUCUUCAGCUCUUCCGGUAAGCACUGGCUAACGAAUGAUUUUAGGUACACCAUAAAAGGAAUCCAUUUCUCCUCUUUCGGAAGUGUUGUAGUCUUACAGGCAACGACCAGGACAGAACACCCCUUGGAAGCAUCAGAAUACUUACACAUAUUAAAGCAGCGACCUUUAACAGAAUUUGACAUUUGGCAUUGGAAGGGAAGAAUGCAUCAAACGAGGGCUGCAUUGACUGUGUAAAGUUCUCCAGAAUCAGAGCAACUGUGGGUAAAGGACCGUUAACUUGCACAAGUUAUCAGCUGUUUUUUUCAUUUUGACGCAGUUACUGGUUCGAGUCGUACAUGGGAGUAACAGUUUAUAUGCAUCCAUUAAAAAUCAGAUUAAUGGAACAAGUGAUAUGACUAACAGCAGGGCACUUAAAUUUAAAUGUAUUGUCCAACAAACAAAAUACAGCAUAAUGCAAUUUCACGGACGUACAUACAGACAGACACAUACAUCCUCAUAUUUGUGAGCAUAGGUGAGCCAGAAAGAUACUAGGACUUGGAACAAGUGAUAUAACUAACAGGGCACUUGAAUGUACCUUUCAGAUGAAAAUCAAAACUACUACUGUUAACCUCCCUCAGUACAACCGACCAGUGCAUUCUGAAGAACCACAAAAGCAACUCUUUUUCUUAAUGUUGCCAGAUGAAUCAUAAACUUGAUCUAUCACGUAAUUGUAAUGAUAAGUCAGCUCUUGCAGGGGAGGAAUGUUCUCAGCAGCAAAGAGCAUUAUGUGAGGCGUUCUCUUGUCCUCAUGAUCAUAAAGGACGUUUUGGGCAUAAAGAUUAGGCGAACAACUGUGGUUAACAAAUCUCCCCACAUUGCCAUACUCCACUGCAUCAAUGGUAAAUCCACCAUCCUCCACAACUCCACAAGAACUCAAUGGUGCAUCAGGCAUAACAUUCGAAAGUCCACCCCAAAGAGAACCAUCAUUAUAAUUAUUCCCAAUAUCAAAUAGAUACUCAUCAUUACUGGUUCUUCUUUCCGCUUCCUUCUCUUCAAGGAGCUCCCCCGCGUACUCACAGAUAAAACUUCCCGAAGGAAUGGAAUUUAGGGAUCUCACACCCCAUCCCCGUGCUUCAGUUUUGAAGAUCUCCAUCUGAAAUUUGAUACCCUGCUGGCUGACUCUAUUAUAGCAAGAAGCUUCAUUACUCUUUUUCAUUGUUUCACUGGCUUGCAUACAAAUACAACAUUAUGCAGGCUAAUUAGAUAAAAGGGAAUGGCUAGGGCCGACAGACGGAUGACGAGGAGCAUAGCUCACCUACCUCAUCUUCCAAAAAAUAGUAAUUUUCCAUUUAUUAAUUGUUCUACAAGCCUCCUCUCUCGUGCAAUAAGUACGUAUGAUUAAUGAGUGCUUCCGUCCCUAAUUGUUAUAGCUAAAUACGUUUGUCUGGCUUGACCCGUUUACUAGUGCGUUACAACCAAAAGACUGAUGGUGAUCGAGUGGGUUAAUCCAGUUGUUGUGAGCCUAUAGCAUUUGCUUUUGACUCGACAAAGCAAUUUAAAAAAACGCCAUUUUGGAUACCGGUACGUCACGUACUAAAUCCAAUUGCUUGGUGCGGUCUCCCUAUUAGCCUUCGGUUCUUGACUCAAUAAGUAAUUUCCAGCUAGUUUCAAUAGGUUUUAAUUCCACCAUUUACUUACCAUAAUGAUCGAGAAUAGGGAUGGCAAUGGGGUGAGGUGGAUGUGGAGAGGCUUAUCUUAUUCCUCAUUCUAUUAAAAAUGUCACCUCUAUUUUUCACCUCAUUCUCCAUUAAAUUUAGAGGAACGGGGACAAAAAAUCUUUAUAUGGGGAAUAAUUUCCUCAUUCCUAUCUCAUUACCCGUUUAUUUAUUUCAUAAUAAGUAUGGAUACGUGGUUUUAGUACAUUAAAAAUUAGAGACUUAAAUAAAAUUAUUAUCAUAUUAUAAAGUAUUUAAAUUAUUUUAAAAAAUUUCCAAAAUUUUGAAACAAUAUCAAAACUGAUAUCAAAACUGAAAAAUGUUUGGAGAGAGCAUCACUUAAUAAUGUUUUAGAGUUGAAUAAUAAUUAUAUUGUAAGGUUUUCUUUUAAUUAUAACCUGUUUAUAUUAGGUAAAAAUUAACAAGAAAAUUUGUUAACCGACAUUGUAUUUGAUAAAACAAAAAAUAUUAAAUAAAAAUUAAAAAAUAUUUAUAUUUAAAUGGAGAGUGAGGUGGUGGUGGGGUGGAGAAUACAAAACCAAAUCCCAUCCCAUUAAGAGUUUGAGGAUUAUUUAUCCCUCGUUUCCUACUCUAUUCCCUAAAAAUUAUUUAAACCCCAUGAGAACCAAACCCGUGUAAGAUUUUGCCAUCUCUAAUCGCGAAAUCUUGAGUUUUUCCUUGCACCCAAGUCACAAGGUGUGCGCUAUAAGAUCUUUUGGCAUAAUUCAACUGGUUGUAGAUAUUUUCACCCAAAUUCGAAUAGCAAUAAAGAAUAAUGAUUGUUAUUUAGUGGUUUAAGUUUUUCAUCUCCAUUCAAUUUUUAAAAUAAAUAAAUAAAUAGUUUAUGCUAUUAGAACGUCUAAACGAAGCAAACCCAGACCAGUAAUUAACAAUUACAAAACAAUUACUUGGUUGAUAAUAAUGGCAUGGGAGGUGAUUUUAUGAUUUUACUGCUAUUUCCUCUACUAACAGUAAUCAGUAAAAUUGAUGUAUUAUCAAACAAUAUAAAUCGUCGAUAAUAUUUCUUGGUGAUUGCAACAUGUUAAAAAAUAUUUUUCAAACUGCUGUACGGCCAAGGCGGAUGUACGGUACAGCAGUUAUGAUAAUGAGUCCAAUUCAAUUCAAAUAAGGGUCUUGAGGGGUCGAUAAUGGGGUCUACAUUUACGCAUCAUCAAUCUAAUCUAACUCUCUAGUCCCAAGACGAAGAAAAGAGGUGGCAAUUUCCCCUUAGCUGCAGCCCUCAAGGCUUCUACUAUAAAUAUGGCCAUUAACAUUUGUUAGCAACCCAUCUCAGAAGCAUCCUCCUUCGUACUGCUAGCAAAGAUUUUGAUAUUUUGCAAAUGGGGUUAUGUCAAUACUACCUUCUUUCCGUCGUGCUGCUUUUGCCUGCAUUGUGUUACUCUCAGUUCACAUUCACAAGUUCUAGAGCUUCAUUCUAUGGUAGCCCUGACGGCUUGGGGACACCAGGUAUGUAAAAAUCUCACCUUUAUAAAGCUAUGUACAUUAAACUCGUGCACAAGUUGACGCGAACGAAUCGUUCAUUUCAUUAUGCUUUAGAGAAUUUUUGUUUUGGUAUUUGUUUAUCUUUUAGAUUAACUAAUGUUCAUGUCGAUGAUUCAUCAGCUGGUGCUUGCGGGUUUGGUGCAUAUGGAAAAACUGUAAAUGAUGCUAACGUGGCCGGUGUGUCGAACCUUUGGAAUAAUGGAACUGCUUGUGGAACUUGCUAUCAGGUACUGAUUAUUAACUUUCAACCCACUCAAUCAUUGCAGUUUAUUGUAAAGCUAUAUAAUAAAUGUGUAAAAUGAACGAAUUGCUAAGACGGGUAAGCCUAUGCAUGCGUGAAAGGAACUUGAAAACUUUAUUUAUUUAAAUUGUAUUGUUUAUAUAUAUAUGUAAGUAGUUGCAUGCAUAUUCUUCGUAAGACUGCUUAAAUCAUUUCAAAUUCAACAUCGUCAACAAUUUUAUUACCACUAGUAAUUCUUUAGGUUUUGUACCAUCAAUUAAUAAUGAUUAGUUAAUUAAUUAACUUCAGGUCAGAUGCAAUGUACCAGAAGUUUGCACAGAUUAUGGGGUGUACGUGGUGGUGACCGACUAUGGUGAAGGAGACGACACAGACUUCGUCCUCAGCCCACGCGCGUAUGGAAGAAUGGCACUUACAGAUAAGUCAGAAGAGCUUUAUACUUUUGGUGUCGUCGACGUUGAAUUCCUGAGAGUCCCUUGCCGGUUCAGAGGCUACAACGUCAUGUUCAAGGUCCAUGAAAACAGCAAGUACCCACAGUACUUGGCCGUAGCCACGCUGUACGUAGGUGGCCAAAAUGACGUCCUAGCAGUUGAAAUGUGGCAGGUAAU
rnacentral:lncRNA from 1 species